rnacentral:lncRNA from 1 species
GUCACGCUUUUCUAACUCUUUAUUGUUGAGGGAAAGUAGUGAUGGUGGAAGCACGACACUGUGGUCAACAACCAAAACAACCCCACCUCAGCUGUUUAAACAAACUCAACGUGUUAUAGCACUCAACUUAAUUCGUAUAGAUGAUGAAGAGAUGAUGAUUUAUCGUUUUAAAGUGCGUAAGGUAAGUUCUCAAUGUCAAAUGUCACACACCUUGGUGUGGAUUAAUGUCACCUAGCUUCACUUUUGUUUUUAGCCGUAGCAUCAGGAAGAACAGCGUUACAUUCUUUUCCCUCGAGAGAAUGUAUAAAUGUUUGUUGCGUCUCCUGAGAUCACGAGUCGGCCGCCAGUGUCAAUCUACAACGCAGUUUGGUAGUCCUUGAACGGAGAUCGUAGAGCCAAUACUGGCUUUUGUCCGUGAAAGAAGAGUGACUUCCACCAACGUUUUUGCUCCAUCCUUAUUUUCGCGACGCACGCUCAUCCAGCUUCUUAUGCUGCUACACAACGUAUGCGAUCACUUCAGUGGUCGCUUCCAUCCACCAUGACACACCUGUAGUCGCUCACCACGGGAGAGUAUGCCCAGGUUCCCGUAGAUUAUCUACUAAUAAUCUACUUACGUUAAACUCUGUUUCUGUGAAAUAAUUCAAAUAUCAGGCCCCUUUUCUUGCGCGCAAACAAAGUUUUACUUGCUCCGUUUCUUUUUUCUAAUAACGCUUGAUGGCUUUAUUAUAUUUUGCCUUUGAUCAUUUUCAGCUGUCAAAUUAGAAAUUAGUCAGUUUCAGGCUUUCAGCUACUUUGGACAUCCCUGUAAAAAUGAUCGACAGUUACUGAGUAGUAACAAAACUACAAAAGUAACUUAUUUGUGAUAACAAAGUCCACUUGUGAAAUUUCCGAUAAUUGCUAUUUUUUUUAAUCUACUGUCAGUUUCUAAAUUCGAUGAUAAGUAAGUGUGUAAAUAUUCCUGUGACGCCGAAAGGAACCCAACAUAAUUUAUUUUUUUAAAUUUUCUUUUCCGUCCGAAUCUAGUCGUCCGUGGAUUGCUAAGGGCUGUCACUAGGUGGCUAAAUAUGUCAGUGUGUUUAGGGAUUGAACUAUUCGACCCUAGUGCGUCAAAGCCCUGACUGCAGACUCCUGUCUUUUCUUUCCAGACGGUGUCCGAGAACGUUGGGCGAGGCAUUGCGAGGUAAUUGUGUUCCUGAAAGUGUUCGUCAGAAAAAUGGUAACUACCUCUGUAUUCUAUAUGGUUAUCGAAAAUGAGAUUUUUGUGCGUGGUGAAUUUACAAGUAACAUGUUCAUCAACGUGUACAAUCCCAUCAUCAUGUGUCCUGCUGUAUAAUUUCCUAAAAUGUCGUCACUUGCUUUACGUUGCACGUUUCGUCACAAGAUGAGGUAUUUCCACGCCAUUCGUCUUCGAUCAAGCUGAACCGAAAGUGAACUAAUAUAAAGCAACAUAUCGAAGAUCGUGCCUUUAUCCACGUGGUCGCUGCCGUGUCAUGAAGAAGUUGAGAGGGUCUCUUCUUUAUUGCAAGACAAAUGUGAUGAAAAGAAGAAAUCUGAGAAGGUAAUUAAGUAUUUGUAAGCUUAACCAAUUAGUUUUGUUGCAGCCAACUGAUGCAAGGGAGUUAAAAUCAAGUUGAGCUGCAGCCCCUGGAAGCAGUCUAUAUUACUGGCGUCAUCCUGAAGUGGUGAAAUGUUACCUGAAGUUCAACAGCAACAAAGACAUCUUGAAAUGGUGACAACGUGACGCAUUUUACGUGUGUUGGUAAUUUAGGGGCAUGUGUCGAGUAGAAGGAAGACGAGUGAAAUUUUAAUUCUUUCUGGGACGCUGUUCGAGGGCGUUUUUUUUUUAAGUUACUUCUGGGUGAUGUCAUCUAAAAGGUAACAUGUCCUUGGCUCAUUUGAUCAUGUGGCCUGCUGUACAUUUUCCAAAAAUGUCGUCCCUUGGUGCAUGACACACGUUGUCACAUGAAUAGGUAUCUCCACGCCAUUCGGCCAAACUGAACUGAAAGUGAAUCAUUUCAAGCAACAUGUUGAAUAUUUUGCCUUUCUCCAUGGGUCCAUGGGCUGUGUCAUGAAGAUGGAUCUUUGAGAGGGUCACUACUGCAUUGCAAGACAGAAUGAUGAAAAGAGGGAAAAUAUUAAGGUAAAAGAAUCCUUCCCUUAUCUGCUGAAGAAUUUGAGAACACAGCAAAGGGUGGACCACAUUUCUGUCAUGCAGGAGGUUUUGCUGCUGCAGCCAGCCAUUGAAAGGGAGUUCAAAUGAAGUUGAGUUGAAGCUCCUGGAAGCAGUCUACAUUGCUGGUGUCAUCCUAAAGUUAAACAGCAAGACAGAUAAGCUGCAGUGUCAAUGUGAUGCUGCAUACUGUCAAUGGAGCUGGUGUUAUCCACAAGUGUAGAAGCAAAACUAGAAGCACAGGUGCAAGAACACAUCCCGAAAUGGAUGGUGGAAAUUUGCCGUGGUUUUGUAGUCUGCUGCCUGUUCAAGCUGUUGCUAUCCUGGAUUUUGCCUUAGUCCUUGAAAUAGCAGAUGUUGGUGGUAUCCAGAUGUUGCUGUGGCAGUGAAAUUCGGGUUGAAGAUUAAAAUACUUUCGUCUGAUAAAUGUUUAUCGAUCCAUGUAGCGUAUGAUUGAAGUAACUUGAUAUUAAUUUGCUAUUCCAUGUCACAUGUUGCAGCCCGUGUUGGUGAGAGUUCUUUGACAUUAAGUUCUAUCUGCUGGUGAUGUUGGUUAUGAUAUUACCUUUAUCCACAUCCACAUGAUAUCAAAUUAUUCCUUAUUGAUUGAUGACCAAACCUCUCAAGUCAAACCUGCAAUCUUGUGUUAUGUUAACUUCAUUGUUUAUAUCUUAUCACAUUUCACUUGUAAUCAAUAUAAAUAAAACCCAAAU